UUCCAGGAGCCACACUCCGUCUGUGGAGAUGCAGGAGAAUAUUUCUUCACUGCCUCCUGAGCUUUGUCAAGGAUCUGGGAUCUGGGAUAUUGUCAGGCUGGUGGGAAUUUCAAUACUGGAUCUUUCUUCUGAGAAAAUACACCUCGCUAUAGCUUACAUUCGUGCUCCAGUACGUAACACGUGGAAUGGAACCAAAAGCCUCCAACAGUUCAUCAUUUGUCACAGCCAACUCUCUUCAUCCAGCUCUUAAACUUCCUCCCACUGGGACUUCAUAUUUAUAAUCGUCCUGCCUUCUUCUGUCUCUGGACUCAGGAGGUUGGAAGCUGAAGAGGGAGUCAGAAAUGAUGCGAAC